rnacentral:lncRNA from 1 species
CUUCUCAGAAGUGUGACUUCUCCAGUUGGCUCCCCCCCGGCUGCGUGCACAGGCCGGAAGUGGCAGGGCCAUCUGGAGCCAGUUCUGCCCAAGCUGGAGCUGUCUUAAGAGGGUACAUGUCGGGGAGAAAGAGGUCCAGGUGGAACGGUUGGCUGAGAAAAAGGCUUUGGUUACCGUCAGCAACGGCUUCGUGUCACGGUGGCCUCUCCCCAUCCUGUGAGCUGACACCCAUCAAACCAUCCAAACACUCUCCAUCUCAUCCCCCGUGGCUGCCACGGUGAGAGCGGGGCUUGUCGGGCUUCUCUUGGUGGCCCCGUACAUCUCGGUCCUGCAACGGAGGCCACGGGGUCCUGGGGGGCGCUCAGGGAGACCCGGGCCGCCUCUGUGCCGCUCUGGUCUUUGGUCUCCUGCUUUCCACCUUGCCUCUGGGUUGGGUGCCUUUAGGUACCCGGAGCUAAUUAAGGUGUUUGAUAGAUUUCAACUGGAGUAUGAGUUCUUGCCAGAAGCAUUGACAAUUCGAUUCCCCAAACACAACGCGGGGUGUUAAAUCCACUAAUGCUUUAUACAUUACUGUGUUCCUUCCCAGCCGGAAUGUGUGGUCUGGGUACAAUACCGAAACGGUCCCCAAGCAGGCGUCCUCACUCUUCAGCUCUCUAAUUGUUCCUGUUAAGCAGAUAGAAAUAAUGAAACUGCAGAUGCCUGUGCGACGUCCCAACAGCUGAUGAAUCUAUGCGUUGGAAUCCAGAGGUCCAAAUUCGGAUGUUAAAAAAUCAACCAUAGAUCCGGCCUGUCUAGAGGGUGGAUCAUUGGAGACAGGUGUCUGUGCUCCUGGGCAGCGUUCCAUUUCAGGACACAGGUGAGAGAGAGAGAGAGAGAGAGAGGGAGAGAGGGAGGGAGAGCUCGAGAGAAGCAGAGGGGCUUGGUCCCAAGUUCAAAUGGGAAACGUUAUUGCCACAUCCAUAUUUUAGGAGCCAUUGUUGUUUCAACAACCCCGAAAGGCUGAAAAUAGUGCUGAAAUAUUUUUUUUUUAAAGGACCCGGAUUGAGCUAAUACCAGAAGGCAGGGCAAUUCAGCAUCUCAGUUUUCCCUGGGCAGCAUUAAUUAUCUUUUGUUGUAGCAAGUUGUCUGCCUUGUAAGUCAAGCCUUGUAAAUUGUCUGCCUUCAAGCAGAUGCAGGGUUUUCGGA